rfam:Gossypium hirsutum cultivar TM-1 chromosome 6, whole genome shotgun sequence
UUGUUAAAAUUUUACUCAUUUCUACAGUUAAAAAUUAGCGUGAUAGACUGAAUAACCUGAUAGUUACACGUGGCAUGUCAUGUGUAUCUCAUACUAAUGUAUAAAAACUAGUUUUUAACAAUGAAAAUAAAUAGAAUUUUAAAAA